rnacentral:misc_RNA from 1 species
AUUCUUACAAACAAGUUGUGAGUAAUACAGAAAAGUGAUUAAACAUCGACUGCCCGAGCAGCUAUCUAGUUUGUAGCUCUAAUACAACAAGUUUCGGAGGGGCGAAAAAACACUAGGUAAAAUUCCUUUGAAUGCAAGGCUGAAAGCAAACCUCGGCUAUUUGUGUCUAGCUAAACAGAUCAGUAGCUAAUUAUGACAACUCCUUCAUUCGAUGUCAUCAAUCCAGUCGCCAUAUAUUUUACUAAUCUUAUCCGGGCCUUUCCAUUUUUGAAAGAACCUCUGGCCAGGUCUAUCAGCUAUGCCAGUUGGCCUUUGUACCUGAACACCUUGCCCCAGAUGAUAAACAUCUGUGUGGAGUGCUGGAAUGGUUGAGGGCACUGUACUUUCUGUUGCUCUUGAUGGAACCCCGCCCUGCUUUAGUUCUGGAGGAACAGAGACAUAAUCUUUGCCAUCUGUUUCCGCAGGUCCUCCACCAAACUUGUUCAGUUCUGCCACACCAUGAGCAAAAUGACACUUGCUGCCAAACGGGCAAUAGCCAGUAGUCUCCCACUUAUUACAAAUUCUUGUCUUCCAGUUUGAAGGUUUUUGGGUUGCUCCAGUAGCAUUAUUUCCAAAUCCACCAACAGUAGGAGUCACACUUAUUGCAACACUCUCUCUAGACCUUGAUUGUUCAUCAUGAAGGAAAGUGCAACUAUCUCCAUAAGGACAUCCCUCUUCAGUGUAGAACUUCUUGCAGUGCCUCCCUUUAGCGGACCUUUGAGACUCUCCACGUAAAUCAGGAGAGCUCAAUAUUGGUAUCUGGUGUUCUUCUCUCAGUUCCACCAUUACUCCCCGCUCAUUUUCAUGUGCAGCUACUAUCUCUUGCCAAUUAGGUGGUGGUUUGCGAAGCUCCUCUAUUCCAUGAGCAAAGUUACAA